GGGAACCUGUAUUUUCCGUAUAAUGACUAGUCCUGUGUUUUUGUUCCAAAAUGAUGUGUGAGGUGAUGCCCACCAUCAGUGAAGAAGGCCCUUCAGGAGGAAGUGAAAACCAUGGAUCUGGCUGCCCUUCACAACCAGAUGCAGAUUCCCAUUUUGAACAGCACAUGAUGUCCAUGCUAGAAGAAACAGACAUUGCUCAGAGCACACUGAUAGAGACUCAAGAAACAUUGGCGUUGACCCAGGGGAAAUUACUCGAGGUUGGUCAUGAGAGAGAUUCGUUGCAGAGACAACUCAAUACUGCGCUUCCACAGGAGUUUUCAACGCUUGCAAAAGAGCUCAACAUUUGCAGGGAACAGCUGCUUGAGAAGGAAAAAGAAAUUGCUGAACUCAAAGCAGAAAGGAACAACAUGAGGCUGUUCCUGGAACAUCUGGAGUUCCUUGUCUCCAGGCAUGAACGCUCUCUCGAAACGACUGUGAUGAAGCGGCAGGCGCGGUGUCCUGCAGGAGUGUCCACAGAGAUGGAAGUGCUAAAAGCACUGACAUUCUUAUUUGACCACCACAAGACCCUGGACGAAGAAGUGCGAGAGCAAUUACGUGUAGCACUGCAAAGGUGCAGCUUGCUGGAAGAGGAACUGGGCGCUACGCACAAGGAGCUAAUGACUCUUAAAAAACAGAAUAAUGAGAAAAAAUCACCAAGAGAUGGAGUGCUUGACCAUGAACAAGAAGAAACACCAAGCACUAGUGGAAAGUUGCUAGCUUGCAGAGAAGAAGAACGAGAUGACAAGACAACGAUAAAAUGUGAAACUUCCCCUCUCUCCUCUCCGAAGUCCCUUCAGCUAGACAGGCUGCACACAGGGGCGUUGCAAAUAGUCAGCCACGAGGACAUCAGGGACAUGCAAAAAUCAAAAAGUGCCCAGGAUGGUCCUGUGAGCAAUCCCAGUAGCAGUGACAGCAGGCAGGACUCGCCCCACAAAGCCCCAAAGAAGAAGGGCAUCAAGUCCUCCAUUGGUCGUUUGUUUGGCAAAAAGGAAAAGGGUCGGCCUGGACAAACUGGCAAAGAAUCACCAGGACAAGAAACCUCAUCUCAGGAUGCGUUCCGACUUAGCAAAUUGGGAGGAAAGGCUGAAAAAAAUCGAAACUUUCAAAAAAACUCAACAGGCUCCCAGGAAGGUCCUGUGAACAAUCCCAGUACCAGUGACAGCAGGCAGGACGCGCUCCACAAAGCCUCAAAGAAGAAGAGCAUCAAGUCCUCCACUGGUCGUUUGUUUGGCAAAAAGAAAAAGGGUCCGCCUGGACAAACUGGCAAAGAAUCACCAAGACAAGGUGUCCAGUGCCCACAAGGAAUCAUGGCUGAGCAUUCUCCAGACAGCCCAGUCUGCCCACAUGUGAACCAGAGCAGAGCAGUGGACAUUCAUUUGGCGUGA
rnacentral:lncRNA from 1 species